CAGGUGGCGCAGCAGCUGCAGACCGGAUCCAGGAUCUGACUCAGUGCGGACCGGGAGCGGAGGCAGAACCCCCCUCUGGACCGGACCCUGCUGAGGAAGAGUUUAAAGUUUCUACAAGCAGAGACAGGAUGGGUUCGGCCCGAUACAGUCACCAUCAGAACCAUCAGAACCAGCAGAGGUUAAAGGGUCCUCAUGAAUCCCCUGAGUGAUGGAGAGAAGAGUCUGAAAGACUGGAUCAGCAGGAGGGAGUGUGACCAGAACCGGACCAGGGAGGAGGGAGUGUGAUCAGAACCGGACCAGGGAGGAGGGAGUGUGAUCAGAACCGGACCAGGGAGGAGGGAGACUCCAGGAGGAGGAUCAAUAUCUAAUUUCAGCUCUGAGCUCACACUCGAUGCUUUUCCAAUAAGUCUGGAUUAAAGAGUUUAAAGAGU